GCUGUCACGACCCGUGCCGCCGAGACCGGCCCACCUGCUGCUGAGACCCAGGUAAGACUCUCUACCCCGACUUGUACCUUAGACCAGGCACCUUUAGGCUGGGAUACCCCAGAGAUGUACGGGAAGGAAACCAGGGAAGACCCGACGCUAGCGAAGUACAUGGCCAGGGCCGAUUCUGGGGGAGAAGGAGUAGAUGGGGAGCACUACGAGUGGGUGGGGGAUAGACUAUAAAGGAUCCCGAAACCGCCCCAAAAACCGAG